UACGUAGGGGGCUAGCGUUGUCCGGAAUCAUUGGGCGUAAAGAGCGUGUAGGCGGCUCAGUAAGUCCGCUGUGAAAGUCCAGGGCUCAACCCUGGAAUGCCAGUGGAAACUGUUGAGCUAGAGUCCGGAAGAGGCGAGUGGAAUUCCUGGUGUAGCGGUGAAAUGCGCAGAUAUCAGGAGGAACACCGGUGGCGAAGGCGGUGGGCUGGGCCGGCACUGACGCUGAGGAGCGAAAGCGUGGGGAGCGAACAGG
rnacentral:rRNA from 1 species